AUUGAACGCUGGCGGCAGGCCUAACACAUGCAAGUCGAACGAGUGGCGGACGGGUGAGUAAUGUAUGGGAAACUGCCUGAUGGAGGGGGAUAACUACUGGAAACGGUAGCUAAUACCGCAUACCAUCGGAUGUGCCCAUGUGUGAUUAGCUAGUAGGUGGGGUAACGGCUCACCUAGGCGACGAUCACUAGCUGGUCUGAGAGGAUGACCAGCCACACUGGGACUGAGACACGGGCCAGACUCCUACGGGAGGCAGCAGUGGGGAAUGUUGGACAAUGGGCGCAAGCCUGAUGCAGCCAUGCCGCGUGUAUGAAGAAGGCCUUCGGGUUGUAAAGGACUUUCAUCGGGGAGGCGUUACCCGCAGAAGAAGCACCGGCUAACUCCGUGCCAGCAGCCGCGGUAAUAC
rnacentral:rRNA from 1 species